CCCUUAGAUGUUCUGGGCCGCACGCGCGCUACACUGAUGCAUUCAACGAGUCUAAAACCUGCUCUGAUAGGGGUGGGUAAUCUUUUGAAUGUGCAUCGUGAUUGGGAUAGAUGAUUGCAAUUUUUCAUCUUCAACGAGGAAUGCCUAGUAAACGCAAGUCAUCAGUUUGCAUUGAUUACGUCCCUGCCCUUUGUACACACCGCCCGUCGCUCCUACCGAUUGAAUGAUCCGAUGAAUAUCAUGGAUUGAGGAUUAUAGCAGGUUCGCCUGUCUUGAUCUUCGAGAAGUGAAGUAAAUCUUAUCAUUUAGAGGAAGGAGAAGUCGUAACA
rnacentral:rRNA from 1 species